AAAAGGCGGCGUAAGCUGUCGCUAAAGGAUGGACCCGCGGUGCAUUAGCUAGUUGGUAAGGUAACGGCCUACCAAGGCGACGAUGCAUAGCCGAGUUGAGAGACUGAUCGGCCACAUUGGGACUGAGACACGGCCCAAACUCCUACGGGAGGCAGCAGUAGGGAAUCUUCCACAAUGGGCGAAAGCCUGAUGGAGCAACGCCGCGUGAGUGAAGAAGGUUUUCGGAUCGUAAAGCUCUGUUGUUGGUGAAGAAGGAUAGAGGUAGUAACUGGCCCCUAUUUGACGGUAAUCAACCAGAAAGUCACGGCUAACUACGUGCCAGCAGCCGCGGUAAUACGUAGGUGGCAAGCGUUGUCCGGAUUUAUUGGGCGUAAAGCGAGCGCAGGCGGAAAGAUAAGUCUGAUGUGAAAGCCCCCGGCUUAACCGAGGAAUUGCAUCGGAAACUGUGUUUCUUGAGUGCAGAAGAGGAGAGUGGAACUCCAUGUGUAGCGGUGGAAUGCGUAGAUAUAUGGAAGAACACCAGUGGCGAAGGCGGCUCUCUGGUCUGUAACUGACGCUGAGGCUCGAAAGCAUGGGUAGCGAACAGGAUUAGAUACCCUGGUAGUCCAUGCCGUAAACGAUGAGUGCUAAGUGUUGGGAGGUUUCCGCCUCUCA
rnacentral:rRNA from 1 species